CCCGCACAAGCGGUGGAUGAUGUGGAUUAAUUCGAUGCAACGCGAAAACCUUACCUACCCUUGACAUGCCAGGAACCCUGCUGAGAGGUGGGGUGCUCGAAAGAGAGCCUGGACACAGGUGCUGCAUGGCUGUCGUCAGCUCGUGUCGUGAGGUGUUGGGUUAAGUCCCGCAGCGAGCGCAACCCUUGUCAUUAGUUGCCAUCAUUCAGUUGGGCACUCUAAUGAGACUGCCGGUGACAAACCGGAGGAAGGUGGGGAUGACGUCAAGUCCUCAUGGCCCUUAUGGGUAGGGCUUCACACGUCAUACAAUGGUCGGUACAGAGGGUUGCCAAGCCGCGAGGUGGAGCCAAUCCCAGAAAGCCGAUCGUAGUCCGGAUCGGAGUCUGCAACUCGACUCCGUGAAGUCGGAAUCGCUAGUAAUCGCGGAUCAGCAUGCCGCGGUGAAUACGUUCCCGGGUCUU
rnacentral:rRNA from 1 species